AACAUUACAGCCAUCAGAGAACAAACUGUCCCAACAUCUCUCUCCUGACUAUGACGUCCACGCUGUAGAUAGUCGACCAUCUGCACAGAGCGGACAACACCGCGCGUUGUGACGGGCACCCGUGCCAACCAAUGCCAGUCUCUUAUCCCUCAAACUUUACAAUGUGUUUUGUUUUUGUGCUAAACUCUGCAGAAAAGCAAAGAUUACAGGAACCAAAUGAGGAGGAGGGCCGAGUGCUGAGAUCCACUGAAAACAGUUACUUUGUCUUCCCUAAACAUCUUCAAGGUCUUGACUGAGGAAUAAAUUCCCAGGAGGAAGAGUUUUCAGUGAGAUCUGGGGUUCUGGAGUUUGUCUCAAUCCACCGAGGUCUCGUUGCUGAUCGUUCAGUCUCAACUCGCUUUUCCUUUUUCCUAUGCAUAUACUUCUUUGAGAUGUAGCAUUAAAGAGGCAUACGGCAUGGGAAAAUGGGGCUGCAGAGGUAUUUCACCUGUGUCCAAAACUGCGGAGGAAUCUCAACCCACCGCAUGAACCUCAGCGCUCGACAGACUUCAUUAAAACUAACGAUGCUGAAACCCUCAGGAAUGUUGUUUAAUCUUCAGUUUCACAUGCAAAAUAAAAGUCAAUGCACUCCGCUGACUCAUUUAAUUGAAUAAAGUCGCUUUAUUAGAAAAA